CUGUGAUGUCUGCAUUCCUGGCUUUUUCUCAUUGACUUUUGCUUACAGGAUGGGAGAAGGCAGUACGAUGAAGGCUCUGAAAAGUCUCUGUGGCAGUUGUUUCUGGAUUUCAGAAUGUGCUUUUAGGUUGCCAUCACCAUAGGCUUCUCAAAUCAAUAAGCCACAGAGCACCUUUGAUAGCAAAAGAUGAGACAGACUCCUGCAGCAUGCUCCUUGGGACUGGGGCCCUCCACUGUCCACAGACAGGAUUCUUGCUCCUUUGCUGGAUGCUUGAAUGAUAUGCUUUUGUGUAAACAUCCUUGGUGCACAAUAUUCAACUGGGAUUCAAGAAAGCUUGAGCUGUCUCUAGUCUUUGUCAAAACAACAAAAGGACUUUGUCAGCCAGAAAUACCUUUAACUUAAACAGAUUAUUUUAGUUCCACCUGUGUGUGCAUGGCCUGGGAAGGAUGCACUGGCCCUGGAGUUGGCAGAUGAGUGGGAUCUGGCCACCAAGUAAUGUGAGGACUCUCUAUGGGAGGAGCAGGAAGUCUUCCCUUCUGCUUCUGGGAGAGUGCGUGGGAGGGCAGAGAGGAGUCCAGGCUUCCUGGGGCUGUGAAGAAAGACAAGGAAGCAGGUGCAGGUGUCCUUGCAGGCCUGUUGGGAAUCAUCGUGGGCACUUGAAGGGAUGGAGGGAACAUUGCUAUCUCAGAACUCUUUUGGAAUAUCACCAGAUAUCAUGCAACUAAGUCUCUACUGGAAGAGUCUGCUGAAACAUGGAGUGAAUAAGAGUCCACAGGCAGCCGAUGAUUUAGCCCCGUCCCUGGCUCAGUACUGUUUGCAUGGGGUGUCUUUCCACAUUGACAUCUUUGAAGAUACAACACCACAGGAAUGUCAUGAGUAUAUUCUGGGCAUCGCUGAGGUCACCCUCCAUUCAUCCAACCAGUGCUUAGAGAACACAUACUGUGUGCCACUGUGCACAGCUGCAGUGUUUUUAAAAAAG
rnacentral:lncRNA from 1 species